rnacentral:sRNA from 1 species
CUAACUCAUUCUUAGACUCACGUGGAGACGACUGGAAUGGUAGCGUCGAAGUCUCGCUCACGCUCACUCAAAGAGAAGAAGUUCGUCCAUUCUUCUCGUGUUCACUCACCUUCUCCGGAGAGUUAUUCUUUCAAUCGGUUGAAGGUGAGGUCCAGCGAUUAAAUGUUGCAAAGUCAGUAAGAUGAAACAUUUGAUGUUUAAGAGGCAGAAUGAGCUUAAAGAAUUUUACAGAGGAGUUCACAUGGAUUUCGAUAGUGAAUUUGCAAGACAGAUUUUGACUAGUCUCAUUGAAUGUGGAUUAGGUUAAUGAGGCUUUAAAGAGAAAGAGUGGAGACAAUUUGUUUGCAGUUGUGAUUUGCUUCCAGUAGCAACUUCCUUGCAACUUAGUGGCCCCUCGCUCUAGAGUGCACCAGAGCUUCUCUACUUAUGGUUUGAAGGAAUUACAGAGUUUCCUUGAUAACUUGGGUAAUUGAGUUCCUUCAAUUUUCUUCUUUUUGAGGAUUAAGAUUCAUUUGUAAGUGUAGGUGUAGUAUGCUUGAGAGAAAACUUUGACUAUAACAUAUGCCAUCUAGUCGACAUUUAAUUUAGUUCUUGGAUGUUUACAAUCACUGCCACUGUCUCUAAAUCAUUCUUGUUAUAUUUCUGCAUAAUCAGUACGCAUGGUUAUGUGAUGCAUUUCAACAAUCUUGUUCUUUUUAAUAGGAGUAUUACAUGGUUCAGAUAAACUUUUAUGUAAAACAGAUCAUUUUUUAAUUUCAUCUUGCUUAUCAUGUUUAAGUUUUUUGUAUACAUUACAUUAUUAGUUCUAAGACAUCCUCAUAAGAGAACUUUAUGGCUUGUAUAACUUCACUCUGAUGUUGGUUCUUUCAACACUCUGCUUGGCAUGGGAAUAGGUAGCUGCACCGAACAUGGCAUG